GGGGGCUGACCUAUUCUCUGCUACGUCAUAUUCGUCACAGGAUAAAAGCAGUUUACGACCCGAAAGCCUUCAUCCUGCACGCGGCGUUGCUCCAUCAGACUUUCGUCCAUUGUGGAAAAUUCCCUACUGCUGCCUCCCGUAGGAGUCCCCCCGUGCCCCCGCCCCGCCCGCCGCGCGCGGCGGGGGG
rnacentral:rRNA from 1 species